rnacentral:lncRNA from 1 species
AGGUAUAUAUAUUUAUAGAACUCAAUUUCUUAAUCAUAGUUUUUUAGCAAUGUAUACAUGAAGCACAAUAAAUCUUUUCAAUAUCAAAAUAAAAUAAUAUAUUUAAAAAUAUUUGUUUGCAAUCAAGAUCAUCGAAAGACACAUCAUUUAGACCAAUAUUAGUACACUUUAAAGAUAAGAAAUGAUAUGUUUCAGAUGCGUAUCGGGGCAAACAAUCAAGGCAUCAGAAUUAUUCUAUUUUUCUUAAACUGUAGUCUUUAUCUAGAAAUCAUAUUGAGUUUAAGCUUUUAUACAAAAUCAGAUUCUGAAUUUCAUAGUGAUUUUUAAUAGAGGCUUUCAAAAUUAUAAUUUGAGAUAUGUAUCUUCCACAUUGUAGCUCAUCUUAAAUCAUUACGAUUGAAAACACAUAUUUCAAACAUAUAAGAGCAUAUUCAGAAUAUUUGUAUUUAUGUUGAGUUUUGGUAUGAAUUAGAACAUUAUAUACCAAAGUUAGGCAAGUUGAAAGAUAAAACAAAAUCAAUUCAUUUUGCCUAAAUAGAGAUAUACUUCUCUUCUCCUUUUUACAAAUUUAUUCAACUUUCAGAUUUCAAAGAUGAUUGUGAACGACAAAUCUAAAAUUUCUUUUCAAUAAUACCAUAAAAUAACUUCAUAUAGUAUUUUAAACAUUCAAUCAAAUUAUCCAAGCAUGGNNNNNNNNNNNNNNNNNNNNNNNNNNNNNNNNNNNNNUCAUGCCACAUGCAAAAUAUAUUAUGUGUUAAGUCAUGCAUUAAAAUAUUAAGAACAAGCAUGUUAAUUGUUGCCCAGUGAUGGUCACCCAAGAGGGGGGUGAAUUGGGUGUUUUAAAAACUUUUGACUAAUUAAAAUAAAACACACGAAUAUAUGCACUAAGGUAAAGAAGGAGGAAUGAGAAAGGUCAAUCGCAAACACAAGGUUUUAUAGUGGUUCGGAGCUUCCACUGCUCCUGCAUCCACUCCCCAAAUCACCUUUGAGAAUUUCCACUAUAAUCCACGAUUACAGUACGGUAGUUUUGCGAGUUCACUACCCAACUCGUUGUUUUACACCGGGCUCACAACAAACCCUAAAACCCCCAAUUUCACUUAGGCUUGGGACGCCUUUUCCUUGUUCCAAGUCCCUUGACUGGAACAAGCACCACAAUGAA